rnacentral:rRNA from 1 species
GAUGAACGCUAGCGGCAGGCCUAAUACAUGCAAGUCGAGGGGCAGCACGGUUUUCGGACUGGUGGCGACCGGCGCACGGGUGCGUAACGCGUAUGCAACCUACCUUAUACAGGGGGAUAGCCCAGAGAAAUUUGGAUUAAUACCCCAUAGUACUACAAGACGGCAUCAGAAAGUAGUUAAAGAUUUAUCGGUAUAAGAUGGGCAUGCGUUAGAUUAGCUAGUUGGUGAGGUAAUGGCUCACCAAGGCAACGAUCUAUAGGGGACCUGAGAGGGUGAUCCCCCACACUGGUACUGAGAUACGGACCAGACUCCUACGGGAGGCAGCAGUAGGGAAUAUUGGUCAAUGGAGGAGACUCUGAACCAGCCAUGCCGCGUGCAGGAAGACGGCCUUCUGGGUUGUAAACUGCUUUUGACAGGGAAGAAAAUGGCCAUGCGUGGCACACUGACGGUACCUGUAGAAUAAGCACCGGCUAACUCCG